GACGAACGCUGGCGGCGUGCUUAACACAUGCAAGUCGAACGGAAAGGCCAUGAUCUUGUGGGGUGCACGAGAGGGGAACGGGGGAGAAAAACGUGAGUAACAUGCACUUGAAAGUGGGAUAACACCAGGAAAAAGGGGCUAAUAUCGGAUAGGAGAUCUUGAUGCACGGGGGGGGAUGGAAAGAUUCGGCCGUGGGGGAUGGACUCGAGGCUUAUCGGCUUGAUGGUGGGGUAGUGGCUGACCAAGGUUUUGACGGGGAGGCGGCCUCAGAGGGUGACCCGCCGCCUUGGCACUGACAUACGGCCCAGACUCCUACUGGUGGCAACAGUGGGGAAUAUUGCCCAAUGGACGGAGGCCUGAUGCUGCAACUCCGCGUGCGGGAUGACUGCCUUCGUGUUGUAGACCGCUUUCGCCUGUGACUAUGCGUGUCUGACGGUAAUCUGUAAAGAAGCACCGGCUUACUACGUU
rnacentral:rRNA from 1 species